AAUGGGCGAAAGCCUGACCCAGCAACGCCGCGUGGGGGAUGAAGGCCUUCGGGUUGUAAACYYYUUUUCUWAGGGAARAAWAAAAUGACGGUACCUAUGGAUAAGUCCCGGCUAACUACGUGCCAGCCACCGCGGUAAUACGUGGGRGGCRAGCGUUAUCCGGAUUUAUUGGGCGUAAAGUGAGCGUAGGUGGUCUUUCAAGUUGGAUGUGAAAUUUCCCGGCUUAACCGGGACGRGUCAUUCAAUACUGUUGGACUAGAGUACAGCAGGAGAAAACGGAAUUCCCGGUGUAGUGGUAAAAUGCGUAGAUAUCGGGAGGAACACCAGAGGCGAAGGCGGUUUUCUAGGUUGUCACUGACACUGAGGCUCGAAAGCGUGGGGAGCGAACAGAAUUAGAUACUCUGGUAGUCCACGCCUUAAACUAUGGACACUAGGUAUAGGGAGUAUCGACCCUCUCUGUGCCGAAGCUAACGCUU
rnacentral:rRNA from 1 species